AUGAGUUUGUUAUGUUGGAACUGCCGGGGGGAACCGCGGACAGUUCGUGAGGUUUUGGCCCUCUCUAAAGCCAAUUCCCCGGGGCUUAUAUUCUUAUCUGAAACUAGACAAGCCUCAAGUAAGAUGGAGCGUCUUAAGUGGAGAUUACAGAUGAAGGGUUUUGUGGGGGUAUCGAGCCAGGGUCUGAGUGGUGGCCUGGCUCUGUACUGGGAUGAGAGUUUGCAAGUAACAGUUUUGGAUGCUUGUGCACGGUACAUUGACGUGCGGAUUGUGGAUGCAGCAAAUGAUAAUUCAUGGAGGACAACCUUUGUGUAUGGCGAGCCGAGAGUGGAGAAUCGGCAUCGCAUGUGGAGCACACUAUCUAACCUUAGGGCAGUUUCCGCGGAACCAUGGUUAGUGUGUGGUGAUUUUAAUGAAGCUAUGUGGCAACAUGAGCACUUCUCUCAAUCUCAACGGUCUGAAAAUCAAAUGCAAGUGUUUCGUGAUUGUCUGGUAGUAUGUGAUGUUGGGGAACGCAAUAAUUUCAAAAAAAUUCCUACGCACACGCAAGAUCAUGGUGAUGCAUAG
rnacentral:rRNA from 1 species